rnacentral:misc_RNA from 1 species
UUGUAUAACCGGGGCUGUCGCUGACCUUUCAAGGUCGUGCACGCCUCACUUACAAUCCAACUCACCCUUUGUGCAUCACCGCGUGGGCUCUUCCAGGGCCUGCGUUCUCACACAUCACACCUUUGUUUUAAAAUGUCAUGUUAAAAUCAAUA